ACUAGGCAUGCCCUGUCACUGCAGAUCAGGUAGAGGAGACCAGUCCUGGAUUCCCAAAUCCUCCCAGUUAGGGUUUAGUGCUGAAUACAUCAUGGACUUAGGGCUUAUACUGGCUUUGUCUGUCCUUAUUUUAAAAGGUGUCCAGUGUGAGGUACAGUUGCUGGAGUCUGGAGGAGGGUUGGUGCAGCCUGGAAAGUCCCUGAAACUCUCCUGUGCAGCUUCUGGAUUCACCUUUGGUGACUAUGGAAUGCACUGGGUCCGCCAGGCUCCGGGGAAAGGGCUGGAGUGGAUCGCAUAUAUUAAUAGUGGUAGUAGCUACAUUGACUAUGCGAACGCUGUGAAGGGCCGGUUCACAGUCUCCAGAGACAAUGCCAAGAACACUCUGUACCUGGACAUGAACAGUCUGAAGUCUGAGGACACAGCUAUGUAUUACUGUGCAAGAAACACAGUGAGUGAAUGCUACUGUGGACUCAGACAAAAACACCGCUGUGGGGAACACGGGACCAGCAGGGGGCGCUGAGA